CCACUCUAAGCCCCAGUCCUGUCACCUGCAUGGAGUCAGCGCUAAUUAUCUCCCCUCCGAGCACGCGUCCGAGCUGGAUCGCCAGUUUUGAUUUCCCGGUCCCCGUAGCUCCGAGAAUCACUACGAGAGGAACAUAAACAACAAGCUCAGCAACAAAGUUAAAUUUAUGCAAUCGUCUUCCUCCUUUAUCGUAGCCUCUAGCAACAGACUAGAGAUAACCAAGACUUUUAUCCAGACAGAUGGAGGCUGUUACCUUGGAAACAGUGUGGUAACUGGUCCUCUUUCAGGACAAGGUACCAUGGCAACAAGAAGUGAGGAUGGUACUAUGGAAACAGAAAACCAGCCACUGUCCAAUAGCAACCAGGAGCAGCUCUGGUAGCUGUUGCCAUGGAAACAAGCAAAACUCAGAACACGGAAGAUAGCCAUCAUAAGUAUGGAUGCCAUACCUACAGCUAAGGAAUGUCUUCCUACAAACCUGAUAAAACUAAAAUCAGUGAGUGAUA